CGGANGAAAAGNAACCNACAGGGAUUGCCCUAGUAACGGCGAGUGAAGCGGCAACAGCUCAAAUUUGAAAUCUGGCUCUCGGGCCCGAGUUGUAAUUUGUAGAGGAUACUUUUGAUGCGGUGCCUUCCGAGUUCCCUGGAACGGGACGCCAUAGAGGGUGAGAGCCCCGUCUGGUUGGAUGCCAAAUCUCUGUAAAGUUCCUUCGACGAGUCGAGUAGUUUGGGAAUGCUGCUCUAAAUGGGAGGUAUAUGUCUUCUAAAGCUAAAUACCGGCCAGAGACCGAUAGCGCACAAGUAGAGUGAUCGAAAGAUGAAAAGCACUUUGAAAAGAGAGUUAAAAAGUACGUGAAAUUGUUGAAAGGGAAGCGUUUAUGACCAGACUUGGGCUUGGUUAAUCAUCUGGGGUUCUCCCCAGUGCACUUUUCCAGUCCAGGCCAGCAUCAGUUUUCGCCGGGGGAUAAAGACUUCGGGAAUGUGGCUCUCUUCGGGGAGUGUUAUAGCCCGUUGUGUAAUACCCUGGCGGGGACUGAGGUUCGCGCAUCUGCAAGGAUGCUGGCGUAAUGGUCAUCAACGACCCGUCUUGAAACACGGACCAAGGAGUCGUCUUCGUAUGCGAGUGUUCGGGUGUCAAACCCCUACGCGUAAUGAAAGUGAACGCAGGUGAGAGCUUCGGCGCAUCAUCGACCGAUCCUGAUGUUCUCGGAUGGAUUUGAGUAAGAGCAUACGGGGCCGGACCCGAAAGAAGGNGAACUAUGCCUGUAUAGGGUGAAGCCAGAGGAAACUCUGGUGGAGGCUCGCAGCGGUUCUGACGUGCAAAUCGAUCGUCAAAUAUGGGCAUGGGGGCGAAAGACUAAUCGANCNNNCUAGU
rnacentral:rRNA from 1 species